ensembl:lincRNA
UUUUUUUUUUUUUCCUUUCUGCGCCUGCGCGCUGCGCCACGAGCAGCUGGGUUGGCAUCUGCGGUCCUUGCACCUUAAUUUCCAUCCAACUCACCUACAAGGGAAGAUGAUCCUGUGCGGAGUAUGUGUACACCUUUCCCAGACCCAUUAUGUAAAUCUUUCUUUAUGAAUGAAGACGUUUGAGGAGAACAAACUGAGCAGCCUACUUAUUAGAAGUCCCAGGUCCUUGGAUAACCUAAUUUACAAGCCAGUUUCCUAACGGUGCUGCUACCACAUGUUCUCUGGAGUUUUUACCUAGAAGUGCAGGAGCCAUGGGCCUAUGGGCUCGUUUGCUAAGUCCGUUUUGAACACGCAUGCACUGGGCUGCCUGCUUUGGCUCUUGGGCCUGCAUUUGUUGUAUCUUCUUAAAAUAAAAUAAAAUAAAAUAAAAACUGCCUAUAUUUUU